rnacentral:rRNA from 1 species
GACGUAGGGGGCUAGCGUUGUCCGGAAUUACUGGGCGUAAAGGGCGUGUAGGCGGCCAGGCAAGUCAGUGGUGAAACACCUGGGCUUAACCGAGGUAUUGCCAUUGAAACUGUCUGGCUUGAGGAUAGAAGAGGAGUGUGGAAUUCCCGGUGUAGCGGUGAAAUGCGUAGAGAUCGGGAGGAACACCAGUGGCGAAGGCGGCACUCUGGUCUAUACCUGACGCUGAGGCGCGAAAGCUAGGGAAGCAAACAGGAUUAGAUACC